GAUGAACGCUGGCGGCGUGCCUAAUACAUGCAAGUCGAGCGAACAGACGAGGAGCUUGCUCCUUUGACGUUAGCGGCGGACGGGUGAGUAACAUGUGGAUAACCUACCUAUAAGACUGGGAUAAUUUCGGGAAACCGGAGCUAAUACCGGAUAAUAUAUUGAACCGCAUGGUUCAAUAGUGAAAGACGGUUUUGCUGUCACUUAUAGAUGGAUCCGCGCCGCAUUAGCUAGUUGGUAAGGUAACGGCUUACCAAGGCGACGAUGCGUAGCCGACCUGAGAGGGUGAUCGGCCACACUAGAACGUGAACACGGUCCAUACUACUACGAGAAGCAGCAGUAUGGAAUCUUCCGCAGUGGGCGAAAACCUGGCGGAGCAACGCCACGUGAGUGAUGAAAGUCUUCGGAUCGUAAUGCUCUGUUAUUGGUAGUGAACAAAUGUGUAAGUAACUGUACACGUCUUGACGGUACCGAAUCAAAAAGCCACGGCUAACUACGUG
rnacentral:rRNA from 1 species